GACGAACGCUGGCGGCGUGCUUAACACAUGCAAGUCGAACGGAAAGACCCUGCUUUUGUGGGCUGCCCGAUUGGCGAAGGGGUGAGUAACACGUGAGUAACCUGCCCUUGACUUUGGGAUAACUUAAGGAAACUGGGGCUACUCCAGUAUAGGAUCCCCCGUUCCAUGGUGGGGGUUGGAACGUUUCGGCGGGUGGGGAUGGACGCGCGGCUUAUCAGCUUGUUGGUGGGGUAGUGGCUUACCCAGGCUGUGACGGGUAGCCGGCCUGAGAGGGUGACCGGCCACAUUGGGACUGAGGUACGGCCCAGACUGCAACGGGGGGCAGCAGUGGGAAAUAUUGCACAAUGGGCGGGAGCCUGAUGCAGCGGCGCCGCGUGCGGGAUGACGGCCUGCGGGUUGUAAACCGCUUUCGCCUGUGACGAAGCGUGAGUGACGGUAAUGGGUAAAGAAGCACCGGCUAACUACGUG
rnacentral:rRNA from 1 species